rnacentral:rRNA from 1 species
UACCGAGUGCGGGUCCUUUGGGCCAACCUCCCAUCCGUGUCUAUUGUACCCUGUUGCUUCGGCGGGCCCGCCGCUUGUCGGCCGCCGGGGGGGCGCCUCUGCCCCCCGGGCCCGUGCCCGCCGGAGACCCCAACACGAACACUGUCUGAAAGCGUGCAGUCUGAGUUGAUUGAAUGCAAUCAGUUAAAACUUUCAACAAUGGAUCUCUUGGUUCCGGCAUCGAUGAAGAACGCAGCGAAAUGCGAUAACUAAUGUGAAUUGCAGAAUUCAGUGAAUCAUCGAGUCUUUGAACGCACAUUGCGCCCCCUGGUAUUCCGGGGGGCAUGCCUGUCCGAGCGUCAUUGCUGCCCUCAAGCCCGGCUUGUGUGUUGGGUCGCCGUCCCCCUCUCCGGGGGGACGGGCCCGAAAGGCAGCGGCGGCACCGCGUCCGAUCCUCGAGCGUAUGGGGCUUUGUCACAUGCUCUGUAGGAUUGGCCGGCGCCUGCCGACGUUUUCCAACCAUUCUUUCCAGGUUGACCUCGGAUCACGUAGGGAUACCCGCUGAACUUAAGCAUA